GAAAUGAUAGCUUUUGGAACAACAUGUCACAAAAUAAACUGCUUUUGCUUUUGUUCCUGCGACGCCUGUAUAUGCUCAAUAACAUAGUGAAUCCAUUUGUUUAUGGAUUGUUUGAUACGGCUUUCAAGAAAGAACUUAAGAAAAUAUGCUCAAGCUGGUCGUUCCCAAAGCUCAAUUUCUAAAUGGAUGGCCACAGUCCCUGUUUAACCUGACACGUUGCUAAUAAUAAGUUAAAGAAUGAUUUAAAAAAUCUAUUUACCGAGAUCAUUUAUGAGAUCGCUUCAACAUUUACAAAGUAUUAAAAUGUGAAAUCUU
rnacentral:lncRNA from 1 species